AGUGAACGCUGGCGGUAGGCCUAACACAUGCAAGUCGAACGGCAGCACAGUAAGAGCUUGCUCUUACGGGUGGCGAGUGGCGGACGGGUGAGGAAUACAUCGGAAUCUACUUUUUCGUGGGGGAUAACGUAGGGAAACUUACGCUAAUACCGCAUACGACCUACGGGUGAAAGCAGGGGAUCUUCGGACCUUGCGUUAUUGAAGGAGCCGAUGUCGGAUUAGCUAGUUGGCGGGGUAAAGGCCCACCAAGGCGACGAUCCGUAGCUGGUCUGAGAGGAUGAUCAGCCCCACUGGAACUGAGACACGGUACAGACUAAUCCGGGAGGCAGCAGUGGGGAAUAUUGGACAAUGGGAGGAAGGCUGAUCCAGCCCUACCGAGUAGGUGGCGAAGGCAUUCGGGUUGUAAAGCCAUUUUGUUGGGAAAGAAAAGCAGCAGGUUAAUACCCCGCUGUUCUGCCGGUACCCAAAGAAUAAGCACCGGCUAACUUCGUG
rnacentral:rRNA from 1 species